CGCUGGCGGCGUGCCUAAUACAUGCAAGUCGAACGCACUCUCGUUUAGAUUGAAGGAGCUUGCUCCUGAUUGAUAAACAUUUGAGUGAGUGGCGGACGGGUGAAGUAACACGUGGGUAACCUGCCCUAAAGUGGGGGAUAACAUUUGGAAACAGAUGCUAAUACCGCAUAAAACCUAACACCGCAUGGUGUAGGGUUGAAAGAUGGUUUCGGCUAUCACUUUAGGAUGGACCCGCGGUGCAUUAGUUAGUUGGUGAGGUAAAGGCUCACCAAGACCGUGAUGCAUAGCCGACCUGAGAGGGUAAUCGGCCACACUGGGACUGAGACACGGCCCAGACUCCUACGGGAGGCAGCAGUAGGGAAUCUUCCACAAUGGACGAAAGUCUGAUGGAGCAACGCCGCGUGAGUGAAGAAGGUUUUCGGAUCGUAAAACUCUGUUGUUGGAGAAGAAUGUAUCUGAUAGUAACUGAUCAGGUAGUGACGGUAUCCAACCAGAAAGCCACGGCUAACUACGUG
rnacentral:rRNA from 1 species